AAUACAAUGAAUAAAUUUGAACUGUCAUUAGAUAUUUGUUCACUAAUUGAUGGGUCAAAACAGUAAGUCCCCUCAGCGUCGUAUUAAUAAAUAAGAAACAAUCAAUCAACUCAAUUCAUUUUAUUCCCAUUUGAGUUAUUGUCACUCUUCGCCGAAUAGUAAUUAUGGGUCAUUAUGGUUGUAAUUAAAUUUCAAUUUCCCAAAAGACAAAUCAUUGCAUUGAGGUUUGAAUGCGAACGAUUAGGACUCCAUUUACGACAAAGGCAUUCUUUUAGGACAUGUACUUAAAAAGUAUGGGAACUAAAAUCAAUGGCUUCAUCUAUAGACAUGGAAAUUGAUAAUUUUGAAUUAAUAUUUAUAGUUGUUUGCUAAGACUUUUGGUUAAUCUAACAUUUUAUGUUAUGAAUGCAAAUGCCGCGGCAGUCCGUCGGAACUCCGGGACGGCUCUGAUGCUCAUAAUAUUUGCGUGGAAAUGUUAUCUGAACAACCGGCUGUGGCAACAAAUGUAUUUGCCGUUCUGUUCUCCUGUUUGCUGCAGUUUAUAAUUUAUAAAAGUAUGUACUCAUACCAUACGAAUUUUUUAAUUACUGUCGGUCGUGCGCAAAGUGAGAGCAAAUGUUGACUCGGAGAACAACGUCACGUGCCAGUAAAAUCACUCUGGAGACCGCCUUUGGAGCGAGUAGUCAUGUGAUAGGAUCGUUGCAGACGCACGCUCCAGAUAAACCGCAAGAGUGCGGUAUGUUUUGGGUGUGUUAGUGGAUGGAAGGGAAUAUUGUAGGGUUUGUUGCCUAAGACAAACCAACAAAUGACUUAUAAGUACAUAGGAAUACAUGUGUAUGUACAUUGUACAUUGUACAUAUGUCCAAGUGCAGACCCCAAGGCACGGGUCUGCCAGCGGGUCUUAUCUAACCAGAAGACACAGGGCAAAGCUUCAAAGCCUCAUUUGUCACAUGAUAAAUGACCGAGCUCAAAGCGUCAAAAGCCCUGUAGCUUUUGGCGUUCAUUUUGUUGAUUGCCAAAGUCCCACAUUUAAUUGAUAAUGAACAAAAGUCAGGUGGAAUGCAUUUAUCAAAGGAAAGUUCCUAACUCCCGUAUCCGAUUGCCUCCCCUUGUGACAGUCAACAAAAAAUUUUGAGUGCGAGUCACAAAAUCAAGCAAAAAUCAAGGCCCGCAUGACGUAUGCAAAUCACGUAUACGCCGUGUCUCGCAUACAUAGGAAUUGGAGGGAGCCGUGGCCGUGUCGAGUCCGGUCCAUGCACGAUCCUUUGAUAACUUAGCAGUCAGGUGCAAAUUUCGGGCCAUAUUUAACACCUUUCCUUUUAUAAUACGUAAUCAUGCGAGAACUGCUGGACGCCAGCUGGAAAACCUAUGAAGAUACUCAUCUCUUCUCAACCAGAGGCUGAUUUGCUGCUUUCUGAUGUAAAUGUUUCAAGUAAGAUCACCUGGCGACGUUUCUCCUGUAUUUUGUAUAGCCUGUGUGUCUGCUCUGCUAACAAUGGAUGGUGUGGUGUCUAAAUAACCGUAGGAGUGGGUAAACAAUAGCAAGAAAUGGCACACCUGGGCAAACAGUAUAAAAAUAAAGGAAAAUACACAGAAAGCUAUGGAAAGGGAAGGGUUGGGAUGGGAAGGGAAGGGAAGGGGAAGCGGAGAACGCGCCUGCAAUUGGCGAAAAGUAACUCAAUCCAUACACGAAAGGCAAACAAAAUACUGUAGAUCCAUUUAUUUUCAUUCAAUGGGAAAUGGAAACUCGAAUGCUAUCCAAACACAUUCCAUCGACUUGGAGUUUAUUUUGUUCCAGUUUAGAUCAGAAACAAUAAAGUAACAAUAAAUUUCUCCGAAUUGUGGUCAUUAAUGCUGCGAUAGAAUCCAAUAGUUUUCAAUUGCAUUGAAUAUCGUAUCCUAUCCCCCCGGGCCGACACCAGCUGAAAGUUGUCUUCGAGAACAGGUUCCGGAAGCGAGUACACGCCCGCCCGCCAAACGGAAUCUAUAAUGAUCUUUCGCUGGAGUCUCGACGAAUCGAACUUUUCCCCCAAUAGCCGCAGUCUCGAUUUCCUUUCCCCAUUCCACCUGAGCCAGAGAACGAUUCCGGACAAAGCUUGCUGUCAUCCAAAUACAUCCAUUUAAGUUGAACAAAAAGUAUCUUGCCAUAAAAGCAAGGAGAGGAGGAGAAUGCUAAUAAAAAGAGAGAGAUACUCAGCGAAAUACUCAUUUCGACAGGCACAAAAACUUAAAAACAAAAUAAAACAGAAAACAGAAAAUACAAUUGCAAUUAGCAUUCACGUUUUUACGAAUUUACGAGUUAAGCGAUUCUAAGCGAGUCUUGCAUGAUAAUAUCUGGGGGAAUCAUCGGAAAUGGAGGGAAUCAUGAGUUGGUUGCGUGUUCCUUUCACGACAAAUGUCGCCUGGCCUGGGGACGAUCGUAAGGAAGUUCUCGUUAAAACUGGUUUGGGGCAAGUACCUCCACUUCCCAGUGCCCAGUAGCCAUCCCAAAAGCGGGCUUUUAUCCCGAUUUAUGAGUCAGGCCAAUUCUGAUGAUAUAAUGUCGGGAGGGGUCUGGGUCUGGGUCUGGGUCU
rnacentral:sRNA from 1 species